ensembl:lncRNA
CUGGGACCGGCAGCGAUGGCUCCCCUGGUAGCCCAGUUGGCUCGGUCAGUUCAGGUGGCCACGGUGGAUCAGUCCAUUCUCGUUGUGCAGACGGCCAGGGAGGAAUUCGCCAUUUGAGUGGCCCGAACGGAACCUGCCAAUCGGGGAGCCAGUAAGGAGCAGGCUGUGGCGAUGGCCAGGUCACGGCAUUGGGAACGGCAUCGGGAACGGCCUCAGACAAGGGCACCGCCUCGGGAACGGCCUUGGACACGGGUAUCGCCUCCGGAACCAUCUCGGGCCCCGCAUCGGCCUCCGGAACAGCAUCGGGCACCGCCUCGGGAAUGGCCUCAGGAACGGCAUCGGACAAGGACACCGCCUCGGGAACCUCGGCAUCGGGCACCGCCUCGGGAACGGUCUCGGGAACGGCCUCGGCAUCGGGCACAGCCUCGGGAACGACCUUGGCAUCGGGCACCGCCUCGGGAACGGUCUCAGGAACGGCCUCAGGAAUGGCCUCAGGAACGGCAUUGGACAAGGGCACCGCCUCGGGAACGGCCUCGGGCUCGGCAUCGGGCACCGCCUCGGAAACGGCCUCGGGCUCGGCAUCGGGCACAGCCUCGGCAUCGGGCACCGCCUCGGGCACCGCCUCGACCUGCGGAACAACAUCGGGCACCGCCUCGACCUCCGGAACAGCCUCGGCAUCGGAAACAACAUCGGGCACCGCCUCGGCAUCGGGAACAACAUCGGGCACCGCCUCGACCUCCGGAACAGCCUCGGUCUCGGGCAUUACAUCGGGAACCGUCUCUGGCACCGUCUCUGGCACGGCAUCGGUCACUGCCUCGACCUCCGGAACGGCAUCGGUCACCGCCUCGGCAUCGGGCACCGCCUCGGGAACCGCAUCGGGCACCGCCUCGGC